rnacentral:rRNA from 1 species
UGAGGAAUAUUGGUCAAUGGGCGCGAGCCUGAACCAGCCAAGUAGCGUGAAGGAUGAAGGUCCUACGGAUUGUAAACUUCUUUUAUAAGGGAAUAAAGUCACCCACGUGUGGGUGUUUGUAUGUACCUUAUGAAUAAGCAUCGGCUAACUCCGUGCCAGCAGCCGCGGUAAUACGGAGGAUGCGAGCGUUAUCCGGAUUUAUUGGGUUUAAAGGGAGCGUAGACGGGUCGUUAAGUCAGCUGUGAAAGUUUGGGGCUCAACCUUAAAAUUGCAGUUGAUACUGGCGUCCUUGAGUACGGUUGAGGCAGGCGGAAUUCGUGGUGUAGCGGUGAAAUGCUUAGAUAUCACGAAGAACCCCGAUUGCGAAGGCAGCCUGCUAAACCGCCACUGACGUUGAGGCUCGAAAGUGUGGGUAUCAAACAGGAUUAGAUACCCUGGUAGUCCACACGGUAAACGAUGGAUACUCGCUGUUGGCGAUAGACUGUCAGCGGCUUAGCGAAAGCGUUAAGUAUCCCACCUGGGGAGUACGCCGGCAACGGUGAAACUCAAAGGAAUUGACGGGGGCCCGCACAAGCGGAGGAACAUGUGGUUUAAUUCGAUGAUACGCGAGGAACCUUACCCGGGCUUGAAUUGCAGACGAAUUGCUUGGAAACAGGCAAGCCGCAAGGCGUCUGUGAAGGUGCUGCAUGGUUGUCGUCAGCUCGUGCCGUGAGGUGUCGGCUUAAGUGCCAUAACGAGCGCAACCCUCGUGUCCAGUUACUAGCAGGUUAUGCUGAGGACUCUGGACAGACUGCCAUCGUAAGAUGUGAGGAAGGUGGGGAUGACGUCAAAUCAGCACGGCCCUUACGUCCGGGGCUACACACGUGUUACAAUGGGGGGUACAGCAGGCAGCUACCGGGCGACCGGAUGCCAAUCCCCAAAACCUCUCUCAGUUCGGACUGGAGUCUGCAACCCGACUCCACGAAGCUGGAUUCGCUAGUAAUCGCGCAUCAGCCACGGCGCGGUGAAUACGUUCCC